CAGUCGCCGCGGUAAUACGUAGGUGGCAAGCGUUGUCCGGAAUUAUUGGGCGUAAAGGGCUCGCAGGCGGUUUCUUAAGUCUGAUGUGAAAGCCCCCGGCUCAACCGGGGAGGGUCAUUGGAAACUGGGAAACUUGAGUGCAGAAGAGGAGAGUGGAAUUCCACGUGUAGCGGUGAAAUGCGUAGAGAUGUGGAGGAACACCAGUGGCGAAGGCGACUCUCUGGUCUGUAACUGACGCUGAGAGACGAAAGCUAGGGGAGCAAAUGGGAUUAGAUACCCGCGUAGUCCCUGUCUCUUAUAC
rnacentral:rRNA from 1 species